UACGGAGGGAGCUAGCGUUGUUCGGAAUUACUGGGCGUAAAUGCGCACGUAGGCGGCUUUUUAAGUCAGGGGUGAAAUCCCGGGGCUCAACCCCGGAACUGCCCCUUGAAACUGGAGAGCUAGAAUCUUGGAGAGGCGAGUGGAAUUCCGAGUGUCAGAGGUGAAAUUCGUAGAUAUUCGGAAGAACACCAGUGGCGAACGGC
rnacentral:rRNA from 1 species